AGCUCCAAUAGCGUAUAUUAAAGUUGUUGCAGUUAAAAAGCUCGUAGUUGGAUUUCUGGUUUGAUGCGCCUGGCCCGCUACGGUUUACGUAUGUGAGUGCCGGUGCGCGUCUGCCAUCCUUCUAGAAAACGUGUCUACGGUUCAUUCCGGCGGAUACGCGAUCUAGAUCUUUUACUUUGAAAAAAUUAGAGUGUUUAAAGCAGGCAUUUGCGAUGAAUACAUUAGCAUGGAAUAAUAAUUUAGGACUUUGGUUCUAUUUUGUUGGUUUCCGGAACUGAAGUAAUGAUUGAUAGGGAUUGUUGGGGGUGCUAGUAUUCAGCGGCCAGAGGUGAAAUUCUUGGAUUCGCUGAAGACUAACUUAUGCGAAAGCAUUCACCAAGGAAGUCUUCUUUA
rnacentral:rRNA from 1 species